CCUACGGGGGGCAGCAGUGAGGAAUAUUGGUCAAUGGGCGAGAGCCUGAACCAGCCAAGUCGCGUGAAGGAUGACGGCCCUACGGGUUGUAAACUUCUUUUGUCAGGGAGCAAUUUGGUCCACGCGUGGGCUUAGCGAGAGUACCUGAAGAAAAAGCAUCGGCUAACUCCGUGCCAGCAGCCGCGGUAAUACGGAGGAUGCGAGCGUUAUCCGGAUUUAUUGGGUUUAAAGGGUGCGUAGGCGGAAUAUCAAGUCAGCGGUAAAAAUUCGGGGCUCAACCCCGUCGUGCCGUUGAAACUGAUGGUCUUGAGUGGGCGAGAGGUAGGCGGAAUGCGUGGUGUAGCGGUGAAAUGCAUAGAUAUCACGCAGAACUCCGAUUGCGAAGGCAGCAUACCGGCGCCCAACUGACGCUGAAGCACGAAAGCGUGGGUAUCGAACAGGAUUAGAUACCCUGGUAGUC
rnacentral:rRNA from 1 species